UAGGGAAGUCUUCCACAAUGGGCGGAAAGCCUGAUGGAGCAACGCCGCGUGUGUGAUGAAGGGUUUCGGCUCGUAAAACACUGUUGUAAGAGAAGAAUGACAUUGAGAGUAACUGUUCAAUGUGUGACGGUAUCUUACCAGAAAGGAACGGCUAAAUACGUGCCAA
rnacentral:rRNA from 1 species